AUUGAACGCUGGCGGCAGGCCUAACACAUGCUAGUCGAGCGAGCGGCCGACGGGUGAGUAAUGUCUGGGAAACUGCCCGAUGGAGGGGGAUAACUACUGGAAACGGUAGCUAAUACCGCAUACCAUCGGAUGUGCCCAGAUGGGCUGAGCUAGUAGGUGGGGUAACGGCUCACCUAGGCGACGAUCCCUCGCUGGUCUGAGAGGAUGACCAGCCACACGGGAACUGAGACACGCUCCAGACUACAACGGGAGGCAGGAGUGGGGAGUAUUGCACAAUGGAGGGAAGGCGGAUGCAGUCAUGGCGCGUGUGUGAAGAAGGCCAUCGGGUUGUAAGGCAAUUGCAGAGGGGGAGCGUUAACCGCAGAGGAAGCACCGGCUAACUCCGUGCCAGGAGCCGCGGUAAUAC
rnacentral:rRNA from 1 species